rnacentral:rRNA from 1 species
GUGCCAGCCGCUGCGGUGAUACGUAGGGUGCGAGCGUUGUCCGGAAUUAUUGGGUGUAAAGGGCUCGUAGGCGGUCUGUUGCGUCGGAAGUGAAAACUCAGGGCUUAACCCUGAGCCUGCUUCCGAUACGGGCAGACUAGAGGUAUGCAGGGGAGAAUGGAAUUCCUGGUGGAGCGGUGGAAUGCGCAGAUAUCAGGAGGAACACCAGUGGCGAAGGCGGUUCUCUGGGCAUUACCUGACGCUGAGGAGCGAAAGCGUGGGAGCAAACAGGCUUAGAUACCCUGGUAGUCCACGCCGUAAACGGUGGCACUAGGUGUGGGACUCAUUCCACGAGUUCCGUGCCGAAGCCUAACGC